UACGUAGGGGGCGAGCGUUGUCCGGAAUCAUUGGGCGUAAAGCGCGUGUAGGCGGCUCGAUAAGUCCGGUGUGAAACCUUGGGGCUCAACCCCAAGCCUGCACUGGAUACUGCCGAGCUAGAGUCCGGGAGGGGAGAGCGGAAUUCCUAGUGUAGCGGUGAAAUGCGCAGAUAUUAGGAAGAACACCGGUGGCGAAGGCGGCUCUCUGGAACGGUACUGACGGCUGAGACGGCGAAAGCGUGGGGAGCGAACAGG
rnacentral:rRNA from 1 species